AGGAAGGGCUGGAGCCGGGCAGAGAGAGAGAGAGAGAGAGAGAGAGACGGAGAGAGAGACACGCCGCCGCCUCCUGCCUCCUCCGACCAGCCUGAAAGCCUUGCCAAGCCCCUCUUGGCCCUCCGACCCCGCAGGCAGCAUGGCCGUGGCGGUGGGGAGACCCUCGAACGAUGAUCUCCGCAACCUGUCCCUUUCAGGCCACGUUGGUUUCGACAGUCUCCCCGAUCAGUUGGUCAACAAGUCAACCUCGCAAGGCUUCUGCUUCAACAUCCUUUGUGUUGGGGAAACCGGCAUUGGCAAAUCGACACUCAUGGACACUCUGUUCAACACAAAGUUCGAAAGUGACCCAGCCACUCACAACGAACCUGGCGUGCGGUUGAAAGCAAGAAGUUACGAACUUCAGGAGAGCAACGUCCGGCUGAAGCUGACCAUUGUGGAUACAGUGGGAUUCGGAGACCAGAUCAACAAAGAUGACAGCUACAAGCCCAUUGUGGAGUACAUCGAUGCCCAGUUUGAAGCCUACCUUCAGGAGGAGCUGAAGAUCAAGCGCUCCCUGUUUAAUUAUCACGACACCCGGAUCCAUGCGUGCUUGUACUUCAUCGCACCUACUGGGCACUCUCUGAAAUCCCUCGAUCUGGUCACCAUGAAGAAGCUGGACAGCAAGGUGAACAUUAUCCCAAUAAUAGCCAAGGCUGAUACCAUUGCAAAAAACGAGCUGCAUAAAUUCAAGAGCAAAAUCAUGAGUGAGCUGGUCAGCAACGGUGUCCAGAUCUAUCAGUUCCCAACAGAUGAAGAAACGGUGGCUGAAAUUAAUGCUACUAUGAGUGUCCAUCUCCCAUUUGCUGUUGUUGGCAGCACCGAAGAAGUGAAGAUUGGCAACAAGAUGGCCAAAGCCAGACAGUAUCCAUGGGGUGUCGUUCAGGUUGAAAAUGAAAACCACUGUGACUUUGUAAAGUUGCGUGAGAUGCUGAUAAGAGUGAACAUGGAGGAUCUGAGAGAGCAGACUCACAGUCGGCAUUAUGAGCUCUAUCGCCGCUGCAAACUUGAAGAGAUGGGAUUCAAAGACACGGACCCGGACAGCAAACCAUUCAGUCUUCAAGAGACCUAUGAAGCAAAGAGGAAUGAAUUCCUGGGUGAACUCCAGAAAAAAGAAGAAGAAAUGAGGCAAAUGUUUGUCAUGCGGGUGAAGGAGAAAGAAGCCGAGCUUAAAGAAGCAGAAAAAGACCUCCAUGAGAAGUUUGAACACCUAAAGAGGACUCAUCAAGAAGAGAAGAAGAAAGUAGAGGACAAGAAAAAGGAACUUGAGGAGGAACUGGGCAACUUCCAGAAGAAGAAAGCAGCAGCUCAGCUAUUACAGUCACAGGGCCAACAGGCUGGCUCUCAACAAACCAAGAAAGACAAGGACAAGAAAAAUUCAAGCUUCACAUAAAGCCUGCCAAGUCAAAGGAUGUUCCUGCAUUCACCUGCUUUUGCAGUAAUGUGUCUCAGCCAUUUUAUAUCUUAUUUUUUUCCCCUUUUACACACAAAUCUUUCUUAUUAACUCAAUUAAUAAUGGGUCGGGUGGGUGAAGCAGGGCUUUAUUGGGGUGUCACUUUCUUUAUUUCUCAAGAGAACAGAAAUGAUAACGUUCUUUGAAAUAGGAAAAAAGAACUAUGUUGGGCCACGACCCAAAAUUAACCAAAUUAAAUAUAUUUAACCAAAUAAAUUAUCCUCCUAUCAGAUUUGGGGGACUUGGACUUGGAACACCAGGAGAAGUUACUUGGUUAAAUAUACUUAAAAUAUUUAAAGAAGCUUGCAAAGUAAUACUUAAGGAAUCAUGUGUCAGCUACUUAAUUAAGUAUAUAUACAAUCAGGGCCAGCUAACACCUCCCAACAAAGGAUUCCCUCAGGCAGAAAGCAGCCAGGCUUUGAAGCUGCAAGGCCAUUCAGUGCUAAUCAAGGCAUCUAAUUGCAACAUUCACACGUACCUCUCAAACAGAUCUUUCUCCCACCCUGGACCUCCCAUAGAUAUAUAAACCCCACGUGCCUAGUUUCCAACAGACCUCACAACCUCUGAGGAUGCCUGCCAUAGAUGUGGGCGAAAUGUCAGGAGAGAAUGCCUCUGGAACAUGGCCAUACAGCCCGGAAAACUCACAGCAACCCUAUAUAAGUAUUCUUAACUAAAUAUCUGAUGACAAAAUUCCAGCCAUCACAUUAAUGAUGAGGAAUACAGCAAAAAAUAGAAAUCAUUGCAAUCAUAUAUGACUUAUUAUUUUAAGUAACUUUACAUUCAAUGAGCUACAUAAUGAAUCCCUUAAGGAAAUAAUGAAGAUGAAUAAUGGGAUACUUCCAAAAGUGCCAAUUUGCAUUGGUGCCCAGUAUGUAUCAGUGCAUCAUAAUCAAUGCAAUGCCCAUUGGGACCGAAGGGCAUCAGUCCUAUCCAUGGACCCUUUGCUAUGUAGUAAUGUAACAGCAAUCCUUGAUUGGAUAUGAAUGUUAUGCGAAUUCGAUAUGUGGUUCCGAAUUCCUGCAAAAAUAAAUCCCCUUGCAAAGACUGAAAUGUCCAACAGGAUUCCAGCCAAAGUUUGGAAUUGUAAUUAUAUACACUGUGCCCCAUUAAAACUGCAAUGGAGUACUAUAGAAAGCUUUAUGUUUGAAGCCAAAACUUGUAACAGUUUUAAAAUAGUUUAUCACAAUGAAGGAAAAUCCCUUCCAUAAUAUGACACUUGAAUGAAUGAAGUUAUCUGAAAAAAUCACCAAAGUAAUGUGAAGACCCUGCAAAGAGCUAUAGAAUUUCCCCAGAGAAAUUGUGAAUUGUCUGUAUCACAGACAGAACCUGUUUUGCAGUAUCUGUGAAAAUUGGAAAAUAUGGAAAUUCACAUCGGGAUACCAGGUCUUGAUUCAGAAAAUCUUCCUAACCCUUUAAGAAUAUCAGAAGCAGCAAAGUAGCAUGUAUCAACAUACUACUACUACUGUUCCUGCAACAGAAAGAAAAGGAAAAACUGAGCCGUUGGAGUUCUGCUGCAUUGUUCUCUUUGCAGAGAGUAAACGAGGCAGUUACUGUUUGGAGUCUUAGGGUGAAUUAAUGUUUGAUACCAUGUUGACUGCCAUGGAGUUGUGGGAAUUGUAGUUUUACAAAGUCUUUAGCCUUCUCUGCCAAAGAAAGUUGUUGCUUCAUCAAACUACCAUUUCCAUGUGAUUCUAGCAUUGAGUCAGGGUAGUUAAAGUGAUAUCAAACUACAUUGAUUCUACAGUGUAGGUGCACCCUCAGACUAGAUAUAUUUACAUGGCCUUUACCAGAGGUUGGUAGAAAUGGGAGUCUGCUGGUACCAAGGUCCACCCAACAAACAAUCAUUAUGGAGCUGAGAGCAAUAUUUUAAAACCCAACACAAAGCAAGUCCAGUUGCGUUCUCCAUCUACAAAUACCACUCACUCUAAGGCAGUGUUUGAGAAUGUGCAUUCCUCUAGAUGGUGUCACUAGAAUUCCCAUUAGUUUCCACCAUUAGUUGGGAUUGGUAUGGCUGAUGGGAAUUGUAGUUCAACAAUAUCUGGAGGACCCCAUGUUGCUCAUUCCUUGUCUAAGGUUUCUUCUAGAAACACUUUGUAAUAUUCUACAAGUCACACUGCAUGCUUUUUGCUGACCUUGCAUGGCUUUCCAUAAUGAGUCACAUUUUGUGUGUUUCCUCAGUAAUACUACUUUGGUCUCCCCUUAACCUUUUCAGAGCAGGAUUUAUUUAUUUCUAGCCAAACAUCUCUGCAAAAUUGGUGUAACUGAUGAAUGCAGUGCAUGUCCAAACCAGAACCUGAAAUGCUUGAUUGAUGGAGGAUGUGCUUUGACCCUAUGUGUUUUGACACAAAGACAGCAUAGGAACACCAACUGGCACAGUUGAAUAAUCCUUGGAAUUUUAAUCAAAAUGUUGGAAUUGAGGAGUUACUGAAGGAAUUGGUAUUCUGAAAAAGAUUCCUUUAGAGGCGUCACCUUAUGAAUUAUGAUGACUUGUAUUUCUCAUUUCUCCUGAUCUUAAAUAAAAACAACUUAUGCACCUUCUGAAAUAUAUGUAGACGCAGGUGUUUGGUGCACAGAUUCAGCUUUGUAAAUUUCUGUACAUCAGGCAUUCACAACCUGAUAUCCUUCAAAUGUCUUGGAUUGAGCUCUCAAAAGUCCCAGCUAACACCAGUUAAGGUAGUAAUUCUCAACCUAGGGUCCCCAGAUGUUUUUGGCCUACAAUUUCCAGAAAUCCCAGUCAGUUUACCAGCUGUUGGGAUUUCUGGGAGUUGAAGGUCAAAAACAUCUGGGACCCCCAGUUGAGAACCACUGAGUGUAAGGAGUCAUAGGAGCUGAAGUCAGAAAACAUUUGGAGGGCACCAGGUUUUGAAUGUAUAUGCAUUCCCAACAUCCUAAUAAUAUUAACACCCUGAUCUUAAAAGUCUUCCCAUUUUAAACAUGGUGGAAUGCUAAUAGGAGGAAGCUAUGUGUAACAGCCAUUUAUCCAAAUUGUUAAUACUCAUAUUCUGCUCUGUUUGCCCAAUCGUUUCCUCAUUAUUAGAGCUCCCUGAUCAGUGAUUGUUGGGACAUUGAAGUUUCAGUUGAGUCUGAACUGAUCAAUUCAGGCACCUGGCUGAUUGACAGAAGCACUGUUUUUCUACAAUGUUGCUUGUACCUCUAAAAUUAAAAUGUACAUCUUCAAAAGUGUACACCUAAAAAUAUAAAUGGUGUUGUUCAUGAUUUUGGAAGAACAUACAAACAUUCAUGAGAAGGUCAGGAUUGUGGGAAUGUGGGAAAUGGCCUUCAAGGCCCAUGAAUUAAGAACUGGCAAUGUAAAAAGUCAAAGUAGUGGGAAAGUGAAGCCUUGGGAUAUUGCAGAGUCUCUGAGGUGUUGACAUCCCUAGCUUUCUCUGGAAUUGUAUUAUGUGGAUUGCAGUAACAUCCGACCUGCUAAAUAAAAAUGAAGAUGAUACUUGAGCGCAAUGAAGCUGAUACUUAGCAGGCUGACAAAGGGCUGGGGGAAAGUAACCUGUUUUCUAAAUCAGUAGCCAUUCAGUCCCAUUUUUACCUUAUUAUCAUCACAUCACUAUCCAGAGUGUCUUCCCCCAGAUCCAGGGAAUUUGAAAAACUUGGAGUAGACGCAAAGGGAUUUCCCAGACAUUUUGAUAAAUGCAUGAGAGUUCAGACACCUUAAUAUUUGCUUAUACCUGUAGAAUAGAUGUAGGAUUGUGAUACAAGAUGGACAACUUUUUCUUCCUAAGUGACACCUGCCAACCAAGUCAGAGAUGUAUAAGUGCAAGCUCACCUCUUACAGGCCUGUUUUCCCUUAAUUUUUUAAAAAGUGCUGUGAAACUGACUAAUUGUUUGUAUUUUUCUGUGCUGGACAGAAUCUUUUCCUUUCUGAUACAUUCCAAGGGAUGGCGGCCGCUGUUUGCCCUCUGACUCCUGGAACACUUUUCUCUGCGGCCGAUGUACUGCCAGCUUCCCCUCUGUUCCUGGCUAGGUAGUCUCCUGUUUCUUAACUUCUUAAGGCACUCUUUUAACAUGACACUCAUCACCUGAGUUUCUGCCCACCUUUCACAUUGCAACCUCGCUUGCUCCUGCCAACCACUUAGACGCCUAUUUCCUUCUCUUGCCCUUGCUGUGAAUUAACACAAAGGCUGGUCUGCAAGGGGCUUUGGCCAUCCACUGCCUAAACAUGGUUCUUAGGGAGAUCACAAAGUGGCUUGAAAUUCCCCAUAUAAAGAAACAAUAAAGUGCUGGUUUUGUGCUGUGCAGAUGGGGCCACCACAAAGUAGUUAACCUGAAAUGCACUUCGCCACAAAUAAAUUACCCCUUAAAUGCUCUUAGCCUAAUGUUGAAGGAGCCAGUUUCCCAGCCAUGUACUUCUGCAGCUUAUUGUGCAAAUCUAUGUUCAAGUUUUCCAAAGCUUGAAUGCUUGUGUAAUGUGCUUCCACUAGCGAUGUUUGUGCGUGUCCUAUUUUCAAUUGGCUUUUGUGCCUCCCUGCUAAUGUUCUUUCUUCCUCCUUACUUUAAGAGAACCUUGAGAGAUGCUCCAGGUGUUUAUUUGGUUGUUCCCAGUUCCCACAUUAAUUCUGUUGAGGGACUAGAAGAUGCAGGUUGUAUAUCAACUUGUCUGGAAGGCUUCUGGUUGAAGAAGGCCACUGUUGACUUUCAAAUGCAUCUCUCACCGGCCUUCUCUGUCUACUGUUUUGGUUUAUCUUUUCUUUUUCUUCCUGGCCCAUUAAAGGGACAGAAAUCCAGUUUUAGACAAAGGAAAAUCUCUCACUUCCCCACAAUCCUUUACCUCAUAAAUAGGUAAUUCAAAAACUAGUUAUUAAGGCCAAUAACAAUCACAAUGUGGAUGCUGUUAUGAGCAUUGUUCCACUACAAGGUCAGUUUACAUAGACCCCAUCUACACUGCCGGUUAUCUGCUUUGAACAAAGCAUAUAAUGGAUUCAGAAACUGAGUUAUAUAGCAGUGUAGAUCCAGACAUAGAAAGCACCCACAGUUGGAUGCAGAUUCCACUGUAUUAGAUUUGCACCCUCAGUUCUGGAUCCUGUGAUACAUUCAUGGAAAAUGAUGGAUCCAAAGGGUUGGAUGAAGGCACUACUUUGUUGCCACAGCCAGGUUUAAGUCACUCCCUGGACCAUGUUUAGUUUGCUUACUACUGCACUUGCUUUUCCUUUUCGUAUCUGUGCCUUUCUUCACAGCAAUCCUUGGCUCUGCACGGAAUAAUGUCUCUCUUCAAAGCUUUUGGAUGUGCUUUCACCCUUGCAUCUUCUUCUUUAUGUAGCUGUCAGUCACCUUGCCAAGUUCCACUUCCCUCUCUCCUAAACGGACAUUAGAAGAGCCGGCAGGUCUUGCCACACACCCCUUUGGGAGACCAGUUACCUCAUUUCUCCACCACCUCCGCCUUUCUGUCUUUUGAAAACUGUGAUUCACCGCAGUGCGUGUGUAUGGGUGUGAGUCCACACACACAAGUGUGUGUAUGUGCAUGUAUGUGCACCUGUUUGUAUCUUUUCUUUCCGAGUGUCGGUCCACUCACUGCUGGCAAACAAUACGACACAAGGAGGCAGAGAGAACUUGGAGGAUGCCCGAGAUAUUGCACUGGGAAUUUUCUUCUUCCUUUCCUUUUGAUACAGCAGAUACAUGCCAGUCAGAAUCAGGACAGGAUGUAUGAACUUGUACGUAUGUAUGUAUGUAUGUAUGUAUGUAUGUAUGUAUGUAUGUAAGAGAGAGAAAGGUGUAUGCAAAACCCAGAGAUGGUUGUUCAGAUGUAGAAAUCCUACAGAUCUAGCCUAGCACUGAUUCUAAUUCUCUCCAAGAAACGCUGCAACCUGGUUACUCUAAAAGCCAUAUGGAUCCACAAGGAUUCCCAGUAUUUGUCUUCAUAACACUCCCUAGAUUGAGGUGAGGGAGAGAAACCUGUCCAAACGUAAGUCAGACAUGAGGAUGAAGCCACCUGCUUCAGUCCAGAAUCUGGUUCUUAAGCUGGUUUUGCCACCUACAACUUAGGUGCAAUCACUUUGGAAAAGCACUGAAACUACCAAUAGUUUCUUGACCCACUGAUAGCAGUUCCACCUUUUAUGCAGCAACAAGUAUAUUUCUCACUGUACUGUAUAUAUAUUCUUUUCAGGGAGCUGUACCUCCUCUUGGCUCUUGUCUAAUGUCUGUAUUUGUCUUGUGCACAUACAUUUUGGGGUUUUAAUAGAUACACAUGAAAUGUAAUGGAUGAAAGUGUUCAACAAACUGUUCCCAGAAUUUCUUCCCAGGCAACUGAUUGCUGUGACAGGUUUGAUCAGAUUCAUUUAUUUUCAAACUGGGCAACAUAUAGUUACUAUGGGAAAGCCUUCAGAAUUAUCACCAUCUCUAGAUGAAAACGUGGAAAUGGAGGACAAUACCCAGAAACCGCCAACCAAUAUGGAACAGGCCCUGGAAUAGUCCAAAUUGUCUCAAUUCCCCUUGGCUUUUUGUUCCAAGAACCUAAUAGUCAUUUGGCCUUUACCACCUCCUCUUUCGUGCCUGUCACUGUAGGAACUGAUUCAAAGAUUUCCAGGCUUUCUUUGCGGAAAGACCCCUCUAAUACUGGUUAAAUUAAAAUGAUGAGAGAAUAAAAAUUAAAUGUUAAAUCCGAUUAUUAUUAUAUUGAUUUAUAUCCCACUUUUUGUCUCUAAAGAAGAGACCCAUUUCAAUGAAACCCUGAGCACUAUCCUUAGUUCAGACAUGCUGAAAGCCAUAGAUCUGUAUGUUCUGUGCAAAGGAAAAACAGACUUUGCUUUUGGAUCCAGCACCUUAAGAUCCAGACUUCAGUUUCCUUUGUUGGUCCACUUGACUGAAGCAAGGCCAGGCCUGCAAAUACACAUACAAGCUGACAUUCUGUCUAGAAAUUAAUGUCACGAGUUUCCCAUGUGUCAUUGCAAUUCACUGUUACAGUCAAUGAACACAUAGCAACCCAAAGCCUUUGGGAAAACCUUUUCAGCAAUGCAGUCCCUGCAUAGCCAUUUCCAUGUUGCCAGAAAGUGGAAAUAUUCAGGAAUGUGCCCAGCUCUUUCUGCACCAAGAAUCUACAGUCUUAAUAGUAGGAUUGGAGGAAGAGCAUAGGAAGACAUAGUUACAUCUCCCUAUGCAAUUUCAAGUUAAAUAUUGACAGGCAGAGGGGUGGCUGUCAGCUUAAUAGUGACUAUGGUUAAGAGGAGCUAAAGUCCAAAUCAGGUAUGUGGGAGGCAUUCAUAUGCAAAUGUAUCAAAUACAAUUGAUUACACAUAUGGAUUUUUAUUGCUGAUCAACUGAAUUUCUUUAAUCAAGUGAUGACCCCAUGAUUAAAAUCAAUGAAACAAA